AGUAAACGGCGGCCGUAACUAUAACGGUCCUAAGGUAGCGAAAUUCCUUGUCGGGUAAGUUCCGACCCGCACGAAAGGCGUAACGAUUUGGGCACUGUCUCAACGAGAGACUCGGUGAAAUCAUAGUACCUGUGAAGAUGCAGGUUACCCGCGACAGGACGGAAAGACCCCGUGGAGCUUUACUGUAGCCUGAUAUUGAAAUUCGGCACAGCUUGUACAGGAUAGGUAGGAGCCUUUGAAACGUGAGCGCUAGCUUACGUGGAGGCGCUGGUGGGAUACUACCCUAGCUGUGUUGGCUUUCUAACCCGCACCACUUAUCGUGGUGGGAGACAGUGUCAGGCGGGCAGUUUGACUGGGGCGGUCGCCUCCUAAAAGG
rnacentral:rRNA from 1 species